UACGUAGGGCGCAAGCGUUAUCCGGAAUUAUUGGGCGUAAAGAGCUCGUAGGCGGUUUGUCGCGUCUGCCGUGAAAGUCCGGGGCUCAACUCCGGAUCUGCGGUGGGUACGGGCAGACUUGAGUUCGGUAGGGGAGACUGGAAUUCCUGGUGUAGCGGUGAAAUGCGCAGAUAUCAGGAGGAACACCAAUGGCGAAGGCAGCUCGCUGGGACGGUACUGACGCUGAGACGCGAAAGCGUGGGGAGCAAACAGG
rnacentral:rRNA from 1 species